CUCAGGGAAGCAGAUGUCAGUAUCUCCUGCUGCUGGACAUAGCCACAUGACCCACUUCUGGAUGAUGAGAGGACCAUAACUAUAUAUUCUUCAUAUUGAAAAAUGCUUUGAGUGCACAGAAAAAAAAAGAUUAUGGGCACUGAGAAUCAUGUCAUCUGCCAUCUGCAAACUGGAGACCCAGGAAUGCCAGUGGUGUAAUUCCAGUCCCUGAGUCCAAAGGCCUGAGUACCAGCAUCAGUUCCUUUGACUUAGAGGCACAGAACUAGUGUGCUUUAAGAAACCGGAGAGAG